rnacentral:rRNA from 1 species
AUACGUAGGGGGCGAGCGUUGUCCGGAAUGAUUGGGCGUAAAGGGCGCGUAGGCGGCCCGGUAAGUCUGGAGUGAAAGUCCUGUUUUUAAGAUGGGAAUUGCUUUGGAUACUGUCGGGCUUGAGUGCAGGAGAGGUAAGUGGAAUUCCCAGGGUAGCGGUGAAAUGCGUAGAGAUUGGGAGGAACACCAGUGGCGAAGGCGACUUACUGGACUGUAACUGACGCUGAGGCGCGAAAGUGUGGGGAGCAAACAGGAUUAGAUACCCUGGUAGUCCACACUGUAAACGAUGAAUGCUAGGUGUAGGGGGUAUCGACCCCUUCUGUGCCGCAGUCAACACAAUAAGCAUUCCGCCUGGGGAGUACGGCCGCAAGGUUGAAACUCAAAUGAAUUGGCGG